rnacentral:tRNA from 2 species
GUGCUCUUGGCCGAGCGGCAAAGGCUCCGGUCUUCCACACCGGUAAGGCGGGUUCGACUCCCGCAGAGCACU